AUUGGAUUGAAGAUGAUUUAUGAUAUUCAGGUUGCUUUUAUCGUCUAGUGUUCAAGAUGGAAAACCAGUUCUUCAUGAAACAAAUAAUUUUACAUUCCAACUAUACUAUGUUGUAAUCAUUCUGAAUCAUUAUCAGAAAAGUUGGAAGUGUAUUACAACUGAUCAUUUCGUAUAAACUUGAUGUUGAAUGAAUCUAAGCUUUUAAAGCUAGAUCUGUCUGCCAAAAUUGAUCAGUUAUGACUUUAAGUAUCCCAUUUCGUUAUUGAAGCUGAAAAUUUACAACCUGUGAUAAAUAAUAUAGGAGCUUCAACAACUGUUUUCAUAAAAAAUCAUGAAACACAUUAAUCAUCAGAAAAAUUCGAGGUUUACUACAACUUAAAUGCGCCUUUUGAAUUCUGUAUAAACCAGCUACUUCCUUAUUUUCAAAUAAAUUUCAUCAAAGAAACUUAGGGGCACAACAAACGUCGCAUGUUAUUAGAAAGAAUUACAUACAAACAUUCUAUCAAACUGAUAAAAAAAAAAAAAAAGAUACAAAAUUAAGAGAUCUUUAAAUUUUUCUAGAUUUGAAAAAUCUCUACAAAUGAAUAAACGAAACUUCAAAAUGCUAAUUAAUACUAUUGCUUUUAUCUCCAAAACCCGCUACAUACUCAAAUUAUCCAGUUCUAUAUAACGCAUUGUAAUAUAUCUAUGCUGCUUAUUGAAUACUUUUUUUCAUAACUUCAUACGAUCUCUUACCACCCACAUGGUAUCGAUUCCCAACAAUAUUGUAAGCAACAGCUACGACUGUUUCAACCAAUACGAAAGGAAAUUGAUCGGUACUCUUAUUCUUUAAUAUAUUAGGAUCAUGCGUAAUUUAUGCUUCCCU